ensembl:snoRNA
UGUCCCUGACCUGGGUAGAGUGACAUCUGGUUGGUGGUGCCCAUCUCAUAUCAGCCAGGGACAAAGCAACCCUUGUUCAUCCCAGCUUGGCUUUUGAUCUGUGCCCAUGCCUGGUUCAUGCCUUGGACACAUAG